UUUUCUUGUCUAUGUAAUCCUUAUGGUGAAUAACACAUUUAUAUUGUAUAAUAUUACAUGAGUAAAUUGAUAUGUUAACAUAAUUUUCUAAUGAUUUAAGAAAAAAAUAUAAAAUGAACACAAAAAAAUGUUAUAUUCACGAAAUUAAAAUAUGUACAGAUUUCACGUCGGUAAAAUAAAACUUUAAUACUUAGUAUCUUUCACAGAUAAGGCUCGAACGAGCGAGGGCGCUUGUCUACCGGGAUGGAGUGUGUUACGUCUCAGCCUGUAUGGCAGAUGACGUAGGCUUUUACUUCCUUAAUUACCGACCUGAAACCUAAUCAAUUGUAUCGAAUAUCGAUAAUCUAGUAAUUCCAUUAAUAUUUAAAUAAUCAUAUAAACUAAUAUAAUAUAAUAAUAGAAUAAUAUUAUUUAAGAUAUUUGAACGUUAAGAAUAUGAGUAAUAUUUGAUAAACUUAUUUUUCUAAAUUUUAUCAAAUAUAAAUAAGCGCUGACGCCUCGAGUUAAUCCUCGAGACGUGCAGCUGCACAAAUAUCUAUUUUGUUUAAGAUAGCUUUUGUUAAUAGAUAAGUGACUCAUUUGUUAGUCACAAAAGUGGAGAGAUCGUGAGAACUAAGUAAUUUCAACAAAUAUUAGAAUGGAUCAUUCGAGAACAUGCGUUAUCUCGAAUGACCCCUCCAUAUGAAUCGAUGCGCGAGUCUGAUGCUCAAACGUAUUGAUAAGAGUUACUCUAGUUUUUCUCGAUCAAGAGAAGUCAGUCUAAAAUAUAUAAUCAUCGAGAGCAAUCAGGCUCAGGAUAGAACGCUUGACUUCGUUCUCACAUUUUUGAAGCUAUUGUUAAGAAUAACUUAAUAAUAUUAUCAUACCAGAAUUAUACGUUUUACAAAUUCUUUAACUAUCUCUUUAUUCAUUGACUAAAACAGAUCCAGAUAAUAUAUUUAAUAACAUAUAAAUAUAACCAGUUUAUUUCAACCACCAACUGGUGGCUGUUCAACCCAUAACUAAUUAUUAUUUAUAAUUAUAUGGGAUCAGACCGGUGGCCAAAUUUUGUAAAAGUCCAGGGGACUAAAUUUUAUUUUAUUAAGAUCCAGGGGAUCAGGCCGGUGGCCAUUUUCGUGAAAGUCCAGAAGAAAAAUUUUGUUUUAAUUAAAAGAUCCAGGGGAUCAGGCCGGUGGCCAAUUAAUCGUGAAAGUCCAGUGGACAAUUUUAAAUAAGAUCCAAGGGAUCAGGCCGGUGGCCAAUUCGUUAUAAAUUUCCAGGGGACUCGUUCGUGUAAUUAAUAAAAGUCCGGUGGACAAAAUUUUAGUUAAUUAGUUUGUAAGAAUAAGAAGUCCGGUGGACAGUUUUGUUAAAAAUAAUUAUAAAGUAUAAAAGCCCGGUGGUCAAAGUGAUAAUUGGUGAAUAAAAUUCAGUAAUUAUAUGAUUUAAAUUCUCCGGUUCUGGAAGGCCGAGUCCUAGCUUCCAGUGGCGCCCUUAUUAAGAUCAAUUAUUAAAGGGGCUAAACUUGCCAAGGUUGAGAUAUACCCUGUUAUAAUGCAUUGAGGCAGAAAUCAUUGUCAGUGAUCAAAAUCGAGAUUUGAAUGAGUUUUGACUUAGGUCAGAGCAAUAAUAUAUGGAAUAUCCAAGAAAAACAUUAAAGACUGGGUUUUUUAAAUUUUUUGCUGACAAUAUGUUUAAAAUUAAGGAACAAGUUAUAUGAAAUUAUCUGAUGAUCGAAAGAGUUGCGCCGAUAUCUUUUGAACUAAUCAACCAAUUUUGACGUGUGAGGUGGCAAUCGUCGCGUUUUCUUGAAUUCUAGAGCUGAUUAAAAUUAGAAAUCGAUCGGUUCAACCGUUUCGAAGAUAUUUGGAUAAAAUCGUUUUUAACCAUUUCUUUCUCCAACGAUAUCUCGCGAACAAAUCAACCGAUUGAGAUGGUUGUGGUCGCAUUUGACGCAGCUUAUAAAGUUCUAGAGCUGAUUAGAUUUUGAAGUCGAUCGUUUAACUCGUUUCUGAGAAAUCAAUAAAAAAAUUUUUUUUUUUUUCGUAAUUUGCCAACAUUUUCGAGUAAACUUGAUUGAAUGAUCUGAAAUUUCCAGGAAAGUUGACGGCCAACAAACUCUUUCGAUUGCCACCUUAAACAUCCAAAUCGGUUCAUUAGUUAAAAAGUUGCAAAGAGUUUACACACACACACACACACACACACACAUACUCGGACAUCAUUCUGACAAUAAUCAGAAUAGCUUCCUAGGACCUCAAAACGUCGACAUCUGAUAAAAACUCGAUUUUUGAAAAUCGGUGUAAAAACAAUAACUUCCCGAAUUUUUCGAAAAUCAUCGAUUUUCUUAGCGGGAAGUUAAAUAAAAAAUCUGUCUAUCGGUUGACCCUGCGGGCCAGCUCCAAAACUUCCCGCUGUUUUCGAGCUCGAAAACAUUGUUGUGGAUACAUUUUCGAGCUAUUCGAGCUUGAAAAAACUUUUGUGUGCCAUUGUUUUCGAAAAAAACAGAUUUUGGCAUUUCUUUCUCCCACGAUAUCUCAGGAAUGAAUUGACCAAUUUUGAUGGUUGAGGCGGCAAUCGGCGUAUUUCAUUGAGUUCUAGAGCUGAUAAAAUUUUGAAAUUGUUUGGUUCAGUUUUUUUCGAAGAUAUUCGGAAAAAACCGUUUUUUACCAUUUCUUUCGCCCGCGAUAACUCUCGAACGAAUACUCCGAUUGAGAUAGCUAAGGCGGCAAUCGACGCGUUUUAUCAAGUCCUAUAGCUGAUUAUAUUCUGAAGGUGAUCGUAUAAGUCGUUUCUAAGAAAUCAAUACAAAACUAAAAAAAACAAAUUUUUUUUUUCUCGUAAUUUACCAAUAUUUUCGAGUCUACUUGAUCAAACGAUCUGAAAUUUUCAUAAAAGUUGAUUGCCAACAAACAUUUUCGAUUGCCGCCUUAACCAUCCAAAUCGGUUCAUUAGUCAAAAAGUUAUAGACCGGUCACACACAUACAUACACACAUACACAAACACACAUAUACAUACAUACAUACAGACACUCGGACAUUAUUCUGAAAAUAGUCAGAAUAGCUUCCUAGGACCUCAAAACGUCGACAUCUGAUGAAAUUUCGAUUUUCGCAAAUCGGGGUGUAAACAAUAACUUCCCAAUUUUUCGAAAAUUGUCGAUUUUCUUAGCGGGAAGUUAAAAUUAGAAGUUUACUCGAUUAUAUCAAAACAGCUUGCAGAGUACGAUUAUAGAAUUGUUGUGGUCACACAAGCUCUUUUUUACAAGUUAAUCUUUCAUUAUUCAUCUGAUUUUUUAAUUUUUUUAUUUUGAGCUGAUUUUUUUUAAUAUUUAUAACUAAUUGAUACGAGUAAACUGUAAGAGAGAGAGAGAGAGAGGUCCAUUAUUUUUGUUCUAAUUAAUAAAUAAAAAAAAAAAUAAAAACGUCGGCUAACUUUAGUGUUAUUUUUUUAAAAUUGCAUUUUUAAUUUUUCAAAAUUAUUACAUGUUAAUUUUUGUUGUCAUGAUUUAUUUGUUAACAAAAGUUCUAAAAAUUGUAAAAUAUCUGCUUAAUUAAUUUUUAUGGCCUCAACAGCGCAGUCGGUCUCACUCAGUCUCAUACGCGUGGAUAAUGCUCUCGCGCUUCCACCCACAGAGGUAUCAAAAUUGAUUUUAGAGGAUGAUUGGCCCCUUGGAUCGGUCUGUCUUCUUGUCAAAGGUUUUAAAAUAGUUGUCUGGUGAACAUAUAUAAAAAUAGAGCAUUAGAAUUUACGUGAGGUUGGCUAAUUAUUUACGGAGCUUUAAAGCAUCUGCAAAGCAAUACGGCCGACGGAAAGUGUCUGGGAGUAUUGACGACUUAUUUUUCACUAUAUUAUUUAAAACAUACGUGAAAAUCAGCCAUGAGAAAUUAUGUGAAGUAAGUAAUGUUUUUAUGUACCUUGAUCACCUGAUACCUGCAAAUUGGCCGUUUAACUAAGCUAGCAGGUAGGCAUACGAUUGUAGUACAUACUAACGAUACUCAAUCGUCCACAUUUCGUCCGUCAGAAAAUACGUGACGUCUGCCGGCCCUGGGAUCUUGGACUAUUUGUGAUUUGGACGUCUCAUCAACAUUUAAUGAAGUCUUUAAGAAGUUCUCAAGAUGUCAAAUGAGCCACCUAGCGAACUCAGUAAGACGUCUGUAAAAAGAGUUCUCAAAGAGUUUUUUUUCUGACUUCGCAAAUCAGACUUAAGUAUGAGCUUACCAUGACGUCUCAAGGAGCUCUCAAUUUUGACUUCAUCUUGACUUCAAAGAAGUUCAAAGAAAGAAUACAUUUAGACGUCACAAAAAUGACGUCAUAUUUAUAGAGUCUUCAAGAACUCUUAAUUACGAGUUCUUAAAAACAAUACCAUUAAGAAGUCAUUAUAAGCCUUCUUUAGGACGCCUUCAAAGAAACGUCGUCAAGCAGUCAUUCCAGUUUGAAUGCUGUCUGAGUACACUUGGGGCUAUUAAAAAAAAUGUUUCGGAAAAAAUUUUGAAAAAUGAAAAAGCUUUCGAAUUUUGAAUUUUCAAAAACCGUCAAAAUUGUAUGGCGACAUCAAGUUUUGUGAUCAAAUUUUUUACUACACUACCCUUAAGCAACCUUAAAAGGUUCUGUAAAUCUCAGAGAGAUUUGUUUUUUGGAUUCAAAAUUAUAAAUUUUUUAAUUUCCGCAAAAAAAAAUUUUGUUUUUUUUCACUUCUGAGUCUAGCAUAGUUGAAAAAAACUAUUCUAUGAAUAAAAACAGAUUUCAAACGAUAGUUUAAAAUCGAGCUAAGUUAUAGCGAUGUAAAAGAAGGCCAUUCGAUUUACAUGCUUUAUAAAUGGGAAAAAUUUUAAAUGGAAAAGAGGUACUCAAAGUUAAUAUUAUGGGCUCAAGCUUUGAGGGAUUUUUUUCCGAUGUGUACAACGAUAUUUAGAGGUCAGCAAAAAGAAAUAGUUGACUUUUUUAAAGCACCCUAAUAUACAUUUAUAUAUAUGUAUAAUUUAUAUCAGUUAUACUUAUGUCGCUGUCUCAACGUCACAUUGAAGAGGAACAAGUUAUACGAUUAAAAUGUAUCUAUUUGAUUAAAUCUUCACACUAUUGGUUGAGCUCAAUAUCAAUAGUUAAGAAUUGCGCUUUUAGCAAAAUCCACGUGGGAAUUCAUUUUCUUAACUGAAUUCUCAUUUCUUUUUUUUGGGUCGAUUGUUCCGAUGUAGUAUCUUACAUGGCUUUCGGUGAAAAUUCAAACUCAUUUAAAUCCAUAUGAGAAUCGAGUAUAGAUUUCUGUAUCGAUUUUCACAAUGAUACAAACAUAAAAAAUUUAAGCAACUGUUGGCCCUGCGGGCCAUUCCCAAAACCUCCCUCAGCGAGCUCGGACACAUUAUUGUAAAUACGUUUUCGAGCUCUUUGAGUCCGAGAAUACUCUUCUGUCCAUGCUCAAACAAGUUACAUUUAAUGUUAAAGUUUGAAAAUUUAAGAAUCGAAAGUAAUUAAUGAACAAGCGUUUUUUAAAUAUUAAUUUCCGAUUAUGUUUGAUAAAAUGAAUGUGACC